GACAGAGGGUGCAAGCGUUGUUCGGAUUGACUGGGCGUAAAGGGCGUGUAGGCGGUUGGGUAAGUCGGAUGUGAAAUCAUCAUCGCUUAACGAGAUGUCCGCAUCGGAAACUGUCCAACUUGAGUAUAGGAGAGGAUAACGGAAUUCCUGGUGUAGCGGUGGAAUGUGUAGAGAUCAGGAGGAACACCUGUGGCGAAGGCGGUUAUCUGGCCUAAUACUGACGCUGAGGCGCGAAAGCUAGGGUAGCAAACCGG
rnacentral:rRNA from 1 species